rnacentral:SRP_RNA from 1 species
GCUGGGUGUGGUGGUGUGUGCCUAUAGUCUCAGCUACUCAGGAGGCUGAGGCUGGAGGAUCACUUGAGUCCAGGAGUUCUGGGCUGUAGUGCGCUAUGCCGAUCCGGUGUCCACACUAAGUUCAGCAUCAAUAUGGUGACCUCCUGGGAGCGGGGGACCACCAGGUUGCCUAAGGAGGGGUGAACCAGCCCAGGUCGGAAAUGGAUUAGGUCAAAAUUCCCAUGCUGAUCAGUAGUGGGAUCAUGCCUGUGAAUAGCCACUGCACUCCAGCCUGAUCCCAUUUCUU